rnacentral:rRNA from 1 species
AACGAACGCUGGCGGCAUGCCUAACACAUGCAAGUCGAACGAAGGCUUCGGCCUUAGUGGCGCACGGGUGAGUAACACGUGGGAAUCUGCCUUUCGGUUCGGGAUAACGUCUGGAAACGGACGCUAACACCGGAUACGCCCUUCGGGGGAAAGUUCACGCCGAGAGAGGAGCCCGCGUCCGAUUAGGUAGUUGGUGGGGUAACGGCCCACCAAGCCGACGAUCGGUAGCUGGUCUGAGAGGAUGAUCAGCCACACUGGGACUGAGACACGGCCCAGACUCCUACGGGAGGCAGCAGUGGGGAAUAUUGGACAAUGGGGGCAACCCUGAUCCAGCAAUGCCGCGUGAGUGAUGAAGGCCUUAGGGUUGUAAAGCUCUUUCGCACGCGACGAUGAUGACGGUAGCGUGAGAAGAAGCCCCGGCUAACUUCGUGCCAGCCGCCGCCGUAA